rnacentral:rRNA from 1 species
AGCUCCAAUAGCGUAUAUUAAAGUUGUUGCGGUUAAAAAGCUCGUAGUUGGAUUUUGGGUCCACUUCCGGCGGGCCGGUGAAAGCCGCGAACUGCUAGAAUGGACCUUCUGUCUGGAGGGCGGGCACUUCCUAUUCGCUUAGUGGUGCUCGCCGUCUAGGACUUUUACUUUGAACAAAUUGGAGUGUUUAAAGCAGGCAAACGUCUUGAACACAUUAGCAUGGAAUAACCGAAUAGGGCUCUGGCUCUAUUUUGUUGGUUUUAAGGGCUGAAGCAAUGAUAAAUAGGGACAGUUGGGGGCAUUCGUAUUUAAUUGUCAGAGGUGAAAUUCUUAGAUUUAUGAAAGACGAACUUCUGCGAAAGCAUUUGCCAAGGAUGUUUUCAUUA